AACGUAGGAGACAAACGUUAUCCGGAGUUACUGGGCGUAAAGGGCGCGUAGGCGGAUGGUACAGUCAGAUGUGAAAUUCCCGGGCUCAACCUGGGGGCUGCAUUUGAUACGUAUGAUCUUGAGUGGGGAAGAGGGUCGUGGGAAUUCCCAGUGUAGAGGUGAAAUUCGUAGAUAUUGGGGAAGAACACCGGUGGCGAAGGCGGCGACCUGGGCAUGUUCUGACGCUGAGGAGCGAAAGUGUGGGGAGCGAACAGG
rnacentral:rRNA from 1 species